UACGCAGGGGGCUAGCGUUGUUCGGAUUUACUGGGCGUAAAGCGCACGUAGGCGGUUUGUUAAGUCAGGGGUGAAAUCCCACAGCUCAACUGUGGAACUGCCUUUGAUACUGGCAAGCUAGAGUCCGGAAGAGGUAAGUGGAACUCCUAGUGUAGAGGUGGAAUUCGUAGAUAUUAGGAAGAACACCAGUGGCGAAGGCGGCUUACUGGUCCGGAACUGACGCUGAGGUGCGAAAGCGUGGGGAGCAAACAGG
rnacentral:rRNA from 1 species